rnacentral:tRNA from 1 species
GGGCGGUUAGCUCAGUUGGCCAGAGCGCCACGUUGACAUCGUGGAGGUCACAAGUUCAAGUCUUGUACCGCCCACCA